GUUCAAGAAAUGCUUUGAUUUUAGGAAUCGAAUUUGGUUCUCCCUUGAAUU
rnacentral:tRNA from 1 species